rnacentral:rRNA from 1 species
GGGGGAAUAUUGGACAAUGGGCGCAAGCCUGAUCCAGCCAUGCCGCGUGAGUGAUGAAGGCCCUAGGGUUGUAAAGCUCUUUCACCGGUGAAGAUAAUGACGGUAACCGGAGAAGAAGCCCCGGCUAACUUCGUGCCAGCAGCCGCGGUAAUACGAAGGGGGCUAGCGUUGUUCGGAUUUACUGGGCGUAAAGCGCACGUAGGCGGACUAUUAAGUCAGGGGUGAAAUCCCGGGGCUCAACCCCGGAACUGCCUUUGAUACUGGUAGUCUUGAGUUCGAGAGAGGUUAGUGGAAUUCCGAGUGUAGAGGUGAAAUUCGUAGAUAUUCGGAGGAACACCAGUGGCGAAGGCGGCUCACUGGCUCGAUACUGACGCUGAGGUGCGAAAGCGUGGGGAGCAAACAGG